AGUAUAUUUCGAGUGUGUUAAUCAUAGACUCGCUUAGCUAUUUUGCUUUUCUUAACUAUCAUAUUUAUAUUAAAAUCAAGCGCAUUAACGCAAAUACAUAUAUAGGCAAUUCACAAACUUUGUCUUAUGUCCUAUGUCGUAUUUCAAUAGUCUUAAAAAAUACGGCACUUGUGAGCACACCUUAAUCGUUGUAUGUCAUAUUGUGUAAUAUUUCUACACUUCAUCAGCUGAUACUGAAAAAUUAUCAAUACAAAAAUGCCACGAGAAAGUGACAAAAAUAAAAGUAUAGCUUCUUUUUGUGAAAAUCACGCAUUGACUUUAUUAAAAGUUGAAUCAAGUUAGGAAGAAGACGAAGCUAUUAAUCAGCAUGAGCUGUUUGCUGAGCAACCGAAGAAGCGUUCAUUUCCGUUCCAGUUGGCAGCGAAAUGUGCUAAGGAAACUUGACGAAAGCAGAUUCAAUCAGAUGCUUCAUGUUUAUCCGGAGGAAGACGAACAUACCUCAGAAUUAACUUAAAAUAACGCUGUUUUUAAAACAAAUUUAA